AUUGAACGCUGGCGGCAUGCCUUACACAUGCAAGUCGAACGGCAGCACGGGAGCAAUCCUGGUGGCGAGUGGCGAACGGGUGAGUAAGGUAUCGGAACGUGCCCAGUCGCGGGGGAUAACGUAGCGAAAGUUACGCUAAUACCGCAUACGAUCUAUGGAUGAAAGCGGGGGAUCGCAAGACCUCGAGCGAUUGGAGCGGCCGAUAUCAGAUUAGGUAGUUGGUGGGGUAAAGGCUCACCAAGCCGACGAUCUGUAGCUGGUCUGAGAGGACGACCAGCCACACUGGGACUGGGACACGGCCCGGACUCCUACGGGAGGCAGCAGUGGGGAAUUUUGGACAAUGGGCGAAAGCCUGAUCCAGCCAUGCCGCGUGCAGGAUGAAGGCCUUCGGGUUGUAAACUGCUUUUGUACGGAACGAAAAGGUUUGGCCUAAUAAGCUGAGCUCAUGACGGUACCGUAAGAAUAAGCACCGGCUAACUACGUGCCAGCCGCCGCCGUAA
rnacentral:rRNA from 1 species